UACGGAGGAUCCGAGCGUUAUCCGGAUUUAUUGGGUUUAAAGGGUGCGCAGGCGGGAGAUUAAGUCGGCGGUGAAAUUUUGCAGCUCAACUGUAAAAGUGCCUUCGAAACUGGUUUCCUUGAGUGUAGAUGAAGUAGGGGAAUUUGUGGUGUAGCGGUGAAAUGCAUAGAUAUCACGAGGAACUCCGAUUGCGCAGGCAGCUUACUAAACUACUACUGACGCUCAGGCACGAAGGCGUGGGGAUCAAACAGGAUUAGAUACCCUGGUAGU
rnacentral:rRNA from 1 species